CAAGAUACCGAUAAAACAAAGCUAUAAUCUCGAGUUGACUCGUGAAUUUCCUGUGAAAAUCGAAUUAAAAUUGAAGCCCGAUUUGUGGCUUCGCUGUCGAGAUCAAAGGAUAUGUGGUGGAACGAAAUUUGGAAAAGAAAUAAGAGUAUUGGGUCAAAACUCUGAUGGAAAGGGAGAUGGCGAAUUCUUCAAGCCACAGCUGAAGAACAGAGCACAAAUCCGUUGAAGAACACAGAACUAGAUCACUAAUCGGGCAUAUUAUCGUGUUCAUCGCGACAGCCACUGUGAAAUCAAUGGUAUUUAACAGCUUAAUCGUGUUAUCGGUUGCUCAUUUAUCGGCCGAUGCAUCGCAAUGCAUUGCACGAUCUCCCGAUCGCCUCACCAGCCACCAACUUCUUUAUGUUCUCUUCAGCUACCCUCUUCAACAGCUCUCUCGCCUCGCCUUCUCUAUAUGGACCUUCUUAUGCGUCCCUCCACCGGGUUCCUUUUACUAUUACUACUACUCCUCCGACUACGAUUCUUCUUCCGAAUGAAUUUUCUCUGGGUGGACGCUCGGAGUUGCAUUCCCAUUCUAGCAUCUGAACAGUUCUUAGCAAGCUUUGUGUGAAUGCGAUUAUGACAAAGAGAAUACGAAGUCCUCACCAAUUCGGUUGCGGCCCUUGUCGGGUGUGUCUUGCUUCCAAGUUCCAACAUCUGCUUGUUUUUUUUGAAAAGCUUUACCAAAUAAUGUACAGCACAUGAAGCCAUCUGGUUACUUACCUCUGUUGGCUCGUAUCCAUGGAUUAGUAGCGCACGGUGGCUAAGUUUGUAAAUAUGAUUUUUUCCUACUCAGGGGAAGGUCACAAAGUGAAAGAAGAAUGCCAGAAAUGUGUGUUUUCACCCUUAGAUUGGUGUUCGUUUUAUUAGAGCGUUUGCAGAUUUCAGCUCGGGUUGCCUUACGUUAAAGUCGGGGUUUGUCGGUCAGCUUGACCCGACAUUGUGUGGAUCAUUUGAGAAAUGAUUGGAUUGUAAGGAAUGAAUGAAUGUCUGUCUGUUAGUGAAAGUGCUUGGAAGAUGAUCACUUUUUGCUAAUAAUCCAUGAGGUGAUGGUUGGUUUGA